UACGUAGGUCGCAAGCGUUGUCCGGAUUUACUGGGCGUAAAGAGCGCGCAGGCGGCUGGUCAAGUCCGAUGUGAAAUCUCCCGGCUCAACUGGGAAACUGCAUCGGAAACUGACCGGCUUGAAGGUGGGAGAGGGUAGUGGAAUUCCGGGUGUAGCGGUGAAAUGCGUAGAUAUCCGGAGGAACACCGGUGGCGAAGGCGGCUUCCUGGACCGACACUGACGCUGAGGCGCGAAAGCUAGGGGAGCAAACGGG
rnacentral:rRNA from 1 species